CAGAGGCGGGAGCAGCGAGCCCUAGCGGCCGCCCGCCAACUGCACGCGCGCCCGCCUCAGCGCCUCCCCCGGGAGCUCCCUGCGCCACGGGCCGCAGUUCCCUCACCGCCCCGUCAGGGGGGCCCAGGCCCGGCCGGGCUCCAACCUUCCCGCCUCACGGGGCGGCGCUGAGGCUUGGAGCAUUAGGCCAGCCUCUGGGCUGGGUGCGAGGAUGGGAGCGUGUGAGGGAAAUCCCACAGGUUCCCCUUGAUCGAUUCAGGAGCCCCUGGUCAGAGGUAGGGUGACCAGAUAGCAACUGUGUAAAAUUUUUGUGGUAAAAAAAACCCACUUUUUCAGAGGCAUAUAAAAACGGGACAUCUGGUCACCCUAGUCAGAGGGGAGCAGAUAAUCGAGGCUGAGUUCAUGUGGAAUUUCACCCAGUAAUUCCCACCUCCAGCCUAUACAAAUUCUGCUUGAACUAGAACACAUUUUUUAAAGAGACAUCAGCCUCGAUUUAAAGACUUCAAGUGAAGUAGAAUCCACCACUAACAUGGCUGCUACUCUGAAACCACAUCUCUUGAUCAGUGAAAACAAGUGAACAUUUCAAAUCUGAGGGGUUCUCAGCCUUGGAAAAAAUGGGAAUCCCUGCUGUAUGGAAAAGGAUCUCAGCAAAUACUUUCUACAUGCUCCAUAUAAGCAUCGUUGGAGCAACUCUGUCACAAGAGAAGCUGUCCAGCCCCCUCUAUCCAAGGAGCAAGAUGGCAAGUGAUGACUCUGGGUUGUGUAGAGUAGGAAUAUGGACCGGGUUUCCUACACAGCAUGGCGCAUGUGGUUGGGUUGGCAAAGUUAAUGAGGGUGGGCAGGGGAGAAGGAUACUGUGGAGUCGUACACUAGCUAGUGCCUUGAUACUCAGACUGAGGCUUGGGAGCUGCAAAUGUCUCUUUAAUGUGUCUCCUGGAGUUCUUUGCAGCACAUAUUAAAACACUGAUUUAAUUAUUAACCAAUCAGGAUGCUUUUACCAUGUUAUUAACCAAUUGUAGAAUACUUAAUCCAUUUUGCUGUGAGAAAGUGUGUGUG